CUCCCAAACCCCAAUGUGAACGUUACCAAUCUGUUGCCUCGGCGGGAUUCUCUUGCCCCGGGCGCGUCGCAGCCCCGGAUCCCAUGGCGCCCGCCGGAGGACCAACUCCAAACUCUUUUUUUCUCUCCGUCGCGGCUCCCGUCGCGGCUCUGUUUUAUUUUUGCUCUGAGCCUUUCUCGGCGACCCUAGCGGGCGUCUCGAAAAUGAAUCAAAACUUUCAACAACGGAUCUCUUGGUUCUGGCAUCGAUGAAGAACGCAGCGAAAUGCGAUAAGUAAUGUGAAUUGCAGAAUUCAGUGAAUCAUCGAAUCUUUGAACGCACAUUGCGCCCGCCAGUAUUCUGGCGGGCAUGCCUGUCCGAGCGUCAUUUCAACCCUCGAACCCCUCCGGGGGGUCGGCGUUGGGGAUCGGCCCCUCACCGGGCCGCCCCCGAAAUACAGUGGCGGUCUCGCCGCAGCCUCUCCUGCGCAGUAGUUUGCACACUCGCACCGGGAGCGCGGCGCGGCCACAGCCGUAAAACACCCCAAACUUCUGAAAUGUUGACCUCGGAUCAGGUAGGAAUACCCGCUGAACUUAAGCAUAUCAAUAAGCGG
rnacentral:rRNA from 1 species